rnacentral:rRNA from 1 species
AACAAAAACAUGUCCUUUAGAUUAGAAUUUAAGGUCUAACCUGCCCACUGAGGAUUUAAAUGGCCGCAGUAUUUUGACUGUGCGAAGGUAGCAUAAUCAUUAGUUUUUUAAUUGAAAGCUAGAAUGAAUGGUUGGACGAAAUAUAAUCUGUCUUUGAAUUAUUUGUAGAAUUUAAUUUUUAAGUUAAAAAGCUUAAAUUUAUUUAAAAGACGAGAAGACCCUAUAGAUUUUUAUAUUUUUAUUUAUAUAGUUUUUAAGGGUUGUUAGUUUAUAUAUAUAUAAAUAUUUUAUUGGGGUAAUAAAAAGAUUUAAUUAAUUCUUUUUUUAUUUUACAUAUAUAAUUGAAUAUUUUGAUCCAUUAUUAUUGAUUAUAAGAUUAAGUUACCUUAGGGAUAACAGCGUAAUUUUUUUAAAGAGUUCAUAUUGAUAAAAAAGUUUGCGACCUCGAUGUUG